rnacentral:lncRNA from 1 species
ACCCUGCCAUGCCUUUUCAGCUGUCUUCCUCCACCACCUCUAUUCCUGAGCUGAAGUUCCAAUCCUUUCCUGUCUCCUUGCAGGAGCAGGUGGCCUGGCUCCUGGUGUAGGUGGCCUGGCUCCUGGUGUAGGUGGCCUGGCUCCUGGUGUAGGUGGUCUAGCUCCCGGUGUGGGUGGCCUUGCUCCUGGCGUAGGUGGCCUGGCUCCUGGAGUGGGUGGCCUGGCCCCCGGCAUUGGAGGUGUCCCAGGUGUUGGAGGUCCAGCUGCAGCAGCAAAAGCAGCAGCGAAGGCAGCCAAAUUUGGUGCUGGGGUCGGGGUGCCAGGUGGGGUCCCUGGCGUUGCUGGAGUGCCAGGAGUGACACCCGGUGUCGGCGGCGUGCCUGGGUUGGUGCCGGGUGUGGGGGUACCCGGUACUGGCAUCCUCCCCGGUGCAGGCAUCCCCCAAGUAGGGGUGCAGCCUGGUGCUAAACCUCCCAAAUUCGGCGUUCCUGGAGCUGGAGUCCCAGGGGUUGGCGGCAUCCCAGGUGGCCUUGGAGUCGGCGGCCUUGGACUCGGUGGUCUUGGAGUUGGUGGGCUCGGUGCUGGUGGGGUCGCCGGCCAGCUGGGAUUUGGUGGGAAGCCCCCCAAGACCUUCGGAGGAGCCCUCGGUGCCCUGGGCUUUAGAGGUGAGCGCUGCUGCCGGGUGAACCCCAUCUCGCCGGGGCCGGCUCCUGCACCCCCUGCCCUUCUCCCAGCCACCCCCCGAGGGGCU